ensembl:lncRNA
AUCGAACCAAGGUCUGUAGUAACGCGGUAAUUUCGCUGUGCCACAGGUGAUAUUCCGCCCAAAAUCUGUAUGCCAUGGGCACUCCAACCCUGUUCCUGUAGCUACCCAAGUGCUUAAUUUGGGAAACCAAGUGAAAUCUGUUCGGGAACAUCGAUAGAAACAUGUUUUCACAAUGAAACACAGCCACUCUGCGCGCUGGAGAAAGGAAUGAAGGAGAGAGGGAUGGAUAUGGAAACUCACGAUGGAGGGGUGCGUCACUUGAGUGGUUUGAGUCACUAUCGUGAGCUUCCUGUCCGGGUUGGCGCCCCCCCUUGGGUUGUGCCGUGGGGGAGAUCUUCGUGGGCUGUACCCGGCCUUGUUUUAGGAUGGACCUGAGCCCUAGGACCAUACCUCAGGGCUACCUGACCUGAUGACUCAUUGCUGUCCCCAGUCCACCUGGUCGUGCUGCUGCUCCAGUUUCAACUGUUCUGCCCUGACCUGUUCAUCGGAUGUGCUACCUGUCCCAGACCUGCUGUUUUCAAUUCUCUAGAGACAGCAGGAGUGGUAGAGAUACUCUGAAUGAUCGGCUAUGAAAAGCCAACUAACAUUUACUCCUGAGAUGCUGACCUUUUGCACCCUCAACAACCACUGUGAUUAUUAUUAUUUAACCCUGCUGGUCGUCUAUGAACAUUUGAACAUCUUGACCAUUUUCUGUUAUCUCCACCCGGCACAGCCAAGAGGACUGGCCAACCCUCGUAGCCUGGUUCCUCUCUAGGUUUUUUCCUAGGUUCUGGCCUUUCUAGGGAGUUUUUCCUAGACAUUGUCCUUCUACACCUGCAUUACUGGCUGUUUGGGGUUUUAGGCUGGGUUUCUGUACAGCACUUUUGAGCCUGUAAUCGAACCCACAAAUGUUGAUGCUCCAGAUACUCAACUAGUCUAAAGAAGGCCAGUUGUAUUGCUUCUUUAAUCAGGACAUCAGCUUUCAGCUGUGCUAACAUAAUUGCAAAUUGAUUUUCUAAUUAUCAAUUAGCCUUUUAAAAUGAUCAACUUGGAUUAGCUAACACAACGUCACAUUGGAACACAGGAGUGAUCGUUGCUGAUAAUGGGCCUCUGUACGUCUAUGUAGAUAUUCCAUAAAAAAAUCAGCAGUUUCCAGCUACAUUAGUUAUUUACAACAUUAACCAUGUCCACACUGUAUUUCUUAUCAAUUUUAUGUUAUUUUAAUGGACAAAAAAUGUGUUUUUCUUUCAAAACAAGUACAUUUCUAAGUGACCCCAAAUUUUGAACGGUAGUGUACAUAUUUUUUACUUUCACUUACUUACUAGUGAAUGCAGCUAGCUAAUUUAGCUUGCUCAAACAAAGGGAUGCUAUGUUAGCUAACUGGCGAUGACUAUCCAACACUGGAACUCUUCCAAGUCAAAGUAAGCUUUUCAUUUGAUAAAUGUAUUGGCACUGCUAAACUGCUUGCUGUACACUGUACUGCAUGAUUUACUAAUGUGUUAGUUCUAGUACCUAUGUUGAGUAUGACAUUAAUGUGGUGAAAAUAGAUGUAGACUGUGUGUAGCGUUUGGCUUGGAAAGGUUUUUUCAUCUGGUCACAGACAGCUGUUGUAAGGUGCACUGAAGUCCACACGAGAAGGGAAAAGGUGAGAGGAGGAGAGAGUGUAGAUGCAAGAAGGAAUUAUAUAUACAAUGAUAGUGAUCAUGCGGUUUAUAUUAAAUGGCAACACACUGCAGUUCAGCGGGAGGGAAAGUCCCUAUCUAACUGUAAAUGCUUUUAAGGGUUUUCGGCUCAUGCUAUACAGUACAAUGAUGGAGUCAAUCCUCAUGCCUCUCAUACACCUAAUGCUCGCAGUUGUCAAAAAUAAAAAUAAAGCCUUAGACAUGAAUUCUAAAAAUAGUAAAGUUGGGAAAAAAGGGAGGCCCGUGGGGCAUGUGUGAUAACCCAGGCAGAAGACCCUGGGUGAGUUCGACUUCUCUGACAGCCUCCCGUUCAGGAAGGGCAAUUAGGAAUUCUUCAGGGCAGGAUUCCUUGGCUGCGUGGAGGCUGGGACCCAGCGCUGUACCAGGCAAAGGUUUCCACCAAGCUGUUCUUGCAUAACCCACAGUGAUAACGCUGGUGCAUUCUUCUCAAGACCCAUCACGGCUGCCAACAUCUCUCUUCCCCCCCCCAAGCCUUCUUUCUUUAGCUCUUGCUUAGAUCCUGUAACCAAGUAGGCUAAGUAAGUGUAUGCAGUCUUUGGAGUUUUUGGAAAGUUUGAAAUUGGCAAAUGAGGUUGGAUAUCAAAGUAUUUGUUUCUGGGUGGAGCAUGGUGGUGUUGUCUUUGUUUUCCUGGGGAACAGGAGACGGCUGAAUUUGUUUCUCUUCCAGAGCACAGGUCAUGUUCAUCAAGAGGUAUGUCACCAGGAGUUAAGGCAGAAGGUGGUCUCAUACCUACUGAGUGUCUUUCUGUCACUAUGACAGGAAACAUGCAUGUCUUGGAAUAAUAUAAUAUAAUCAUUCACAUGCAUUUUACUGUCAUAUAAUUAUUAGUGAGUAUAAUGGAAUGACUUGUUGAAACCAUUUCCUGUCAAAAUAAGUUUUUUGAAAAUAAUGUAGGAGUCUUUCCACGAAUAGAGUACAUUUUGGGUAGUUAACUUGGUUACAAAACAACCAUUCAUUUCACCUAAUUUUAUAGGCCCAGUGCAUUCAAAAUUCAGGUUUCCUGUGUUUUAAAUCAUACUGUACAACAGCUGACAAAACUAGUGUUAAAACAUAUUUGAUCAGUGUUAUUUCCUGAUUUCUCUAUUCUAAUCUAUUUUUCAAGAGAGACCUGGUCCAACCAAGACAGCAGCAGGGGGAAACAAUGUUUGAGACAUAUCAGACUUACUGUAACAACUUACAGACAUGUACUUGCUGGUUGAAAAUAGAAUCUACACAGGACUUUCUAAUCAGCAGGUUUACAUAGGCGGGAGUUGCGGCUUUCCAUGGUGACAUCAACGUGCGGUAAAUUGGUUAAUAGACCAAUAACAGAGUUCCAAACCUCUCUGCCUUUUAACAGCUAGUUUUCAUCCCCCCCCAAUAAUUUUAUAUUUAUACUACUGUUCAACAUUUUGGGGUCACUUAGAAAUGUCCUUGUUUUUGAUAGAAACAGAUUUUUUUGGACCAUUAAAAUAACAUCAAAUUGAUCAGAAAUACAGUGUAGACAUUGUUAAUGUUGUAAAUUACUAUUGUAGCUGGAAAUGGCUUAUUUUUGAUAGAAUAUUUACAUAGGCGUUUAUUUAUCAGCAACCAUCACUCCUGUGUUCCAAUGGCACAUUGUGUUAGCUAAUCCAAAUUUAUAAUUUUAAAAGGCUAAUUGAUCAUUACAAAACCCUUUUGCAAUUAUGUUAUCACAGCUGAAAACUGUUGUUCUGAUUAAAGAAGCAAUAAAACUGGCCUUCUUUAGACUAGUUCAAUAUCUGGAGCAUCAGCAUUUUGGGGUUUGAUUACAGGUUCAAAAUGGUCAGAAACAAAGAACUUUCUUCUGAAACUCGUCAGUCUAUUCUUGUUCUGAGAAAUGAAGGCUAUUCCAUGUGAGAAAUUGCCAAGAAACGGAAUAUCUCGUACAACGCUGUGUACUACUCUCUUCACAGAACAGCACAAACUGUCUCUAACCAGAAUAGAAAGAGGAGUGGGAGGCCCCGGUGCACAACUGAGCAAGAGGACAAGUACAUUAGAGUGUCUAGUUUGAAAAACAGACGCCUCACAAGUCCUCUCCUGGCAGCUUCAUUAAAUAGUACCCACAAAACACCAGUCUUUAACGUCAACAGUGAAGACGCGACUCCGGGAUGUUUGCCUUCUAGGCAGAGUUCCUCUGUCUAGUGUCUUUGUUCUUUUGCCCAUGUUAGUCUUUUAUUUUUAUUGUUCAGUCUGAUAUAUGGCUUUUUCUUUGCAACUCGGCCAAGAAGGCCAGCAAGUGUUAAACAAAUCAAAAAUAUAUUUUGAUUUAACACUUUUUUGCUUAUGAUUUGAUGUUUUAUUUCAUAGUGUUGAUGUCUUCACUAUUAUUAUUAUACAAUGUAGAAAAUAGUCCAAAUAAAUACAUUUCUUGAAUAAGUAGGUGUCCAAACUUUUGACUGGUACUGUAUACUAUACUAAGUGCCAUUAAAGUAACAGGUUGACCGUAAAAGUUGAGGUUUUUAAUCUCAAAGGGCAGCUUAAUGCAGGCUUCACAAUGUAAAAAAACAAUAUUUAGAGCCUAUCUAUCUUUGGGUAACAGGGUUGACAUGUUGCACUCGAUGCACUACAUUUUCCACCACAAACCACCAGAAAAUGGCCAAAAAGAGUAGAACUAGCUCACCUGCUUUUACACUAUGAUUUGAAUAUGUAAAAAAAA